GUGGUUUCCCUGGGCCACAAGGUAUUGGAGGGGCUCCUGGACCUGAGGGUACUCGAGGGCCUAGAGGCUUUCCUGGUGCAUCUGGUGAAAAAGGGAGCAAGGGAGCUCCAGGAUUUAAUGGCUUGCCAGGGCCUCCAGGAUCAGCUGGGCCGAUUGGGCCAGAAGGUCCAAGAGGUGCAAAUGGAG